AAACAGCUAUGUCCGGUACAUGGCAACUGGUCAGAAUGGUCCACGUGGUCUGGUUGCACGGUUACGUGUGACGUGGGUCUUAGAAAGAGGUCCAGAACCUGCACUAAUCCUAAACCAGACCGAUUUGGGGACUAUUGCAUCGGAGAUCCCUUCGAGAAUACAGUUUGCCUUCAAGAACUAUGCGCAAGCAGAAUACAUGGCAACUGGUCAGAAUGGUCCACGUGGUCUGGUUGCACGGUUACGUGUGAUGUGGGUCUAAGAAAGAGGACCAGAACCUGCACUAAUCCUAAACCAGACCGAUUUGGGGACUAUUGCAUCGGAGAUCCCUUCGAGAAUACAGUUUGUCUUCAAGAACCAUGCUCAAGCAGAAGUAAGUAUCCGAUUCCGCUGAAUAUUGGUGAAAAUUGAGUUGAAAGUUUUAAACAGUGAACUUGUUCUAUCCAUUAUAAAAACAAAAUUUAUCAUGUUUAACUAAGACGGUGGCUGGUCUACUUGGGGAUCAUGGCAGAGCUGUUCAGUCACAUGUGGAUUGGUUCAGAAGCUGAGGAGCAGGACAUGCACCAGCCCGAGUCCUUCCGCCUACGGCAAGGCUUGUGAGGGGAACUAUGAGACAUCCGCUGUAUGUGUCAACA